rnacentral:rRNA from 1 species
GAGCGGUAGAGAGAAGCUUGCUUCUCUUGAGAGCGGCGGACGGGUGAGUAAUGCCUAGGAAUCUGCCUGGUAGUGGGGGAUAACGUUCGGAAACGGACGCUAAUACCGCAUACGUCCUACGGGAGAAAGCAGGGGACCUUCGGGCCUUGCGCUAUCAGAUGAGCCUAGGUCGGAUUAGCUAGUUGGUGGGGUAAUGGCUCACCAAGGCGACGAUCCGUAACUGGUCUGAGAGGAUGAUCAGUCACACUGGAACUGAGACACGGUCCAGACUCCUACGGGAGGCAGCAGUGGGGAAUAUUGGACAAUGGGCGAAAGCCUGAUCCAGCCAUGCCGCGUGUGUGAAGAAGGUCUUCGGAUUGUAAAGCACUUUAAGUUGGGAGGAGGGGUUGUAGAUUAAUACUCUGCAAUCUUGACGUUACCGACAGAAUAAGCACCGGCUAACUCUGUG